rnacentral:lncRNA from 1 species
GUUGGAGAAGGUUGUCAACAGUUAAAGGAGUUAGUCCUGAGUAGGUGUAGUCAGAUGACUGAUGUAGGCAUAAGUAGGAUUGCUGAAAAUUGUCAUAACUUAGAAAAUAUUAUACUGGAUCAUUGUAAUAAGGUAAGAUUGUAUGUCAGAGGUCAAGGUUAAGUUCAUAACUGUCAGAACUUAGAACAUAUUAUGAUAGUUCAUUGUAAUAAGGUAUGUCAGAGGUCAAGGUAGCUGAAAUCUGUCAUAGCUUAGAAAACAUUAAACUGGAUCAUUGUAAUAAGGUAUGACAGAAGUCAAGGUAGCUGAAAACUGUCAUAACUUGGAAAAUAUUAUACUUGAUCAUUGUAAUAUGGUAUAUCAGAGGUCAAGGUAGCUGAAAACUGUCAUAACUUGGAAAAUAUUAUACUGGAUCAUUGUAAUACGGUAUAUCAGAGGUCAAUGUAGCUAGAAACUGUAAUAACUUAGAAAACAUUAUUACUGAUUGACCAUUGUAAUAUGUUAUGAGCAACCUUGACCUCUGACCUUUAUUAGGAUAAAUCAAUUAGACAACAAUUCAAUAGACCAAUUCAACUUCUUUUUUAUGAAUGAGAUUUAAGAUUGAUUUGAGUUCAAUUGGUGUAAAUGAAUUCAUUGCACAAUUGACUCUCUAUGUGACAUAAUAACAUACUUAAGAAAAUUUCCUCAUUUUCUUUUUUAUCUCUUUUCCAGGUUACAGAUCAAUCUGUGAGAAUGUUGGCAGAAAACUGUCCGGAUUUAAAGACAUUGUCAUUGGCUAACUGUAACAUCACAGACACAGGCAUAUGUUCUAUAUAUAGGGUAAGAAUACAAGUAAUUAGGGCAUGCCAGGCGCGGAUCCAGAGGAGGGGUUCCGGGGGUUGGAACCCCCCUUUUUUUUGGAUGAUCAAUGCAUUUGAAUGGGGACAUGUAAUUGGAACCCCCCCCCCCCCCCCCUUUGUCCUGGGUUAGGAACCCCCCCUUUUUAAAAUGGCUGAAUCCGCCCCUGCAUGCUGACUCAUGAGUGGUGCCAUAUUGUCAUAUCUGUUUGUCAGUCUGUUAUACUUGCGAGUUGUUUGGUAAAUCAAGAUCGUCUCAACUGAUUUAUACAAAUGAUUGAUUAUUAACACUCAGAUUGAUAAAGUUUUAGAAUAUAUGUACAUUUUUAGUUUCAUUCAAUAUUGUAUAAAUCUUAGUUUGCUUCUAGCAUGUCUAGUUUUUGUGAUCAAUUUAUUGUCAAGUUGUAUUCUAUAUAUAACAGAUUACGAAUUUGAACUGGAAAUCCUUUUCUUAGGCUGAUGUUGGUUUGAAAAUGACAAUAUGGGAUUUAUUUUUAUUUUGUAUAAGUUUCAUUUAAUACUGCAGUGGCCUCGGUGGCCAAGUGGUCUCAGUAGUGACUACUGUAAUCUUCAUUAAAUAUAAUUGUAAGUUUUUUUAUUGAAGGUUGCGGUUUUCUUCAGGCACUCAGGCUUCCUCCACCAAUAAAAAUUGGUUGCCCCAAAAUAGCCAGAAAGCAGUGCUUAAAAGUGGUUUAAAAACACAUAAAAUCAAAAUCAAUUUUAUUUUAAGUUUGUUUCUAAUUUUUAUGAUCAUUUCAUUCUCAAGUUGUAUUCUAUAUAACAUUUUGAAUAUUUGAACUUGAAAUCCUUUUCAAAGGUUGAUGUUAGUUUGAAAAUGGCAAUAUGGGAUUUAAUUUUAUUUUUGUAUAAGUUUCAUUUACUAUCUUCAUUGAAUAGUAUUGUCAGUUUUCUAUUGAAGGUUGCGGUUUUCUUCAGGCACUCCGGCUUCCUCCACCCAUAAAAAUUGAUUGCCCCAAAAAGCAGUGCUUAAAAGUGGUGUUAAAAACACAUAGAAUCAAAAUCAAAUGUUGUAUUAUCUUAAGUUUGUUUCUAAUUUUUAUGAUCAUUUCAUUCUCAAGUUGUAUUCUAUAUGAGCCAGUCCAUGCGAAAAGGUACAAAACGACAAAAUUUACGAAAUUCUAAAAGUGUGCAUAAUUAUUGGUAGUAGACUUGUGAUUUUAUAAAACACAUUUACUUUCCUCAUAUCAUCAAGCUGUGAGCUACACGCACCUGCGAGUGUUGAGACCCCCCCCCCCCCCCCCCUAGUUUAUCAAGAUUUUUAGUGAAUUAUUUCAUAUAUUUCAAUCAUUUUCAAAGUACAGUUUAAAUGGCUGAUUUGCCAAUUGGUAAUGUUAAACCUGGUAGCAGUGGGGAUAAGGCUCUCGCUUACGAUGCGGAUAUCAAUGCAAUCAAACCGGGCAACGGUUCGAAUCUCGUGCAACUAAGGUUGAUUUAUAUAAUAUUAAAUAACUUAACUUAACUUAAAUUUCAAUUUCUAAAACACAAGAUGUCAUAGUUUUUGCAUUUUCCCUCAUGUUUUAAUGUUGUCUUUCUUUCUUUAAACCUGUAGAACUGACGGAAAUUAUUGACUUUUGUCUCUGUAGUAUCAUAAAUUUUUAUAGUUUCUGGUCGGUAUAGCAUUAGUCCGGGGAACAAAUGAUUUUACACUUGCUCAAAUACCAAAAAUUCAGAUAUUUCUACGUCUUUUUCGGUUUUAGUUGACAAAUUCGGAAUAGAAUUGACCAAUCUUAUGAAUCUUUAACAUUAAUGUAAUUUUUUUCGGAUAAAAUCGUUUUUCAAAAAUACUAUAACAAACUUUGAUAAGGUGUCCUGUAAAGUUUACCAAAAGGACUUUUUGUACCUUUUCGCAUGGACUGGCUCAUAUAAGAGUUCAGGUAUUUGAACUCCAAAUCCAUUUAAAAGGCUGGUGUUGGUUUGAAAAUGGCAAUAUCAGAUUUUAUUCUAUUUUGUAUAAUUUUCAUUUAAUAUUGUUAAUUUUUCUAUCUUCAGAUGAAGAAAUUGGAAUACCUUGAUAUCUCAAAUCUGCCUGGUGGUAGUAUUACUGCAGCAAUCGUCUCACAGCUUACAAGAAAGUGUGAUAACCUGGAGUGUUUAAACCUUUCACUGAAUCUGACUAUUGAUGACAGAUGUAUACAGGAAGUGGUCAGAUAUGGGCAGAAGAUAACAAAAUUGUUUUGUGUAAACUGCAGUUUAAGUGAUGAAGGUAAAUUCAUAGUUCAUAUAUAGAUGUAUGUUAAACUUCAAAUCACAUGUCAUGUGGCUUUUAUGCCCCGCUUAGUGUCAUUAUUAUUUUUUGGUAUGUGACUUCGUUCGUGUUUCUGUUGGUCUGUCUGUCCCGCUUCAGGUUAAAAGUUUUUGGUCAAGGUAGUUUUUAAUGAAGUUGAAGUCCAAUCAACUUGAAACUUAUUAUACAUGUGACCUGAUAUUAUCUUUCUAAUUUUAAUGCCAAUUUAGAGUUUUGACCCCAAUUUCACGGUCCACAGAACAAAGAAAAUGAUAGUGUGGGUGGGGUAUCCUAGUACUAUGGACAUAUUUUAUUUUUUUAUUGCAGAUAGUUUAACUUUUCAAUUUUUCAUAGUGAUUGGUAAAAAUAUUUAAAAUUCAUGUGACUUCGUGACCAUUUUUUAGUCAAUCUUAAAGUUAAUAUGUCGAUAUUAUGAAACAUCCUGGCAAAGACCAGGAGUCAUUCAUAUAGAUGACCUGUAAUAAUUAUAGAAUAACAAAUCUAAGAAUUUAAAUAGAGAAAAAUAUUAAAUAAGUGACCAGAAAAGACAAUAAUUCACUCAUGAGGACAAGUUAAUUAUCUGUGUUGGUCGUCGGUCAGGAUAUUUGAAUUCUUAGACUAGUUUUAUUUUUUUAUUACAUUGGUAAAUUUUUUUUUUUUUAUAAAUUGCAAAAAUUGUAAGGAACUGUAUCUUUUUUCUACGCAUUCACAAUUUAUUUUGAUCGACGUCUUAGCAAUGCCUAUAGCUAUUGUUGUAUGACGUCAGAGGAGUGAAAUAAGCACGUUUGUUUCACAUGUGAAAUUAUCUUUUUUUUUUUAUUUCACUGGAAAAUCUGUGUAAUUCAUUACAACCAAUGUAAUAAAUAAAAUAUAGGGCUUUAUAUUAGGCCAUAUCUCUUUUUCUUAUUUCAUUAGCUUAUGGAAGAAAAUUCUCUACAUAAAACAACGGGAAAUCAAUUAUAAGGUUGUACAAUAAGGGCUCAGUAUGUUUUCUGAUUAAGUAACAUGUUUUUUCUGUUAACUCAUAACUUCCAAAAGGCUAAUUUAAAAAUGAUAUAAGCAUGUUGGUGUAGUAAAAUGUAGGGUGUUUGUCUGUAUCACACAAACAAGAUCUUGUCUUGAAUAUGCAAUGAAAUAUUUGCUCCUAACAUUUGAAAAGUCAUCCAUCCUGUUUUGCAAUAGUUUUUUUUCUAGAUUAUUAUGAAUAAGAUUCUCUGAAUUUAUUCACUUGAUAAUUACUUAUAUAUAAGUUUUGUUAAAAAUGAAAAUAAAUCUUUCUUUAGAAAUCUUAAAUUUAUUCAAACAAUUUAUAGUUAAAUUUUCCUUUCUUUGCAGGAUUAAUGGGCAUAGCAUCGCAUGGAAGGAAUAUAGUAAAAUUAGACUUGGGUUGGUGUAAGGAUAUUACUGACCGUGGAAUAUGGGCAGUCACUGAAAACUGUCCAGCUCUUAAAUAUCUAGGACUUAUUAGGUAGGUUAUGGUCAGAGGCCAGAUCACCAUUAAUGACUCUUUAAAUAAAAAUAGACAUCAGAAACAAAAAAUGUGACAACAAAUUAUCAGACACAUCGGAUAAGAAAGAUUAUUUAUCUACUAGAAGGACAUUCAUAGCAAAAAGUAAAAUCACAAAAAUACUGAACUCAGAGGAAAAUCAAUUCGGAAAGUCUAUAAUCACAUGGCAAAAUCAAAUAACAAAACGCAUCAAAAACAAAUGGACAAGAACUGUCAUAUUCCUGACUUGGUACAGGCAUUUUCAAAUGUAGAAAAUGAGUGGAUUGAACCUGAUUUUAUAGCUAGCUAAACCUUUCACUUGUAUGACAGUUGCAUCAAAUUCCAUUAUAUUGUCACCGAUGCGUGGACAAAACAUAGCAAAAGUCUGAUAUUGAUUGAAUCUUACCAUAGGACUUUGAUUCAUCUUAGAUUUUUUGGGUGAUGUUUGAUUCUAUUUCUUACAGUAGAUACGAAAAACAAUGCAAAUUAGGCAAAGUUAGGGUAGUAUCAAAUCUGUUUUAGUUGAUCAGUCAUUUUCAUUGCAAAUUCAUACCUGAUGAAAUUUAAAAUAAACCAUAAAGCAUUGCAUAAUAUUUUAAUCUACAUAGGCGGAUCUAGGGGGGGCCCCCCUUUUGUGGGAACAAUUUGGUUGAUUAUAUAGGAAAUCAUUGAAGCAUGACUGGAGCUGGCCCCCCCUUAGGAAAAGUUCUGGAUCCGCCACUGACUUAUAUGUUAUUAUGAUAAAUGUUUUCAAAUUAUAUUCGUUUACUAUUUAGUAAAAUGAAGAAAUUAAUCUUGUAAUUUCUGUUGAAAGGGAGAUAACCCAUUAUGAUCUUCUCCUUUCAGAUGUGAUUCAGUAUCAGAGAAAGGAGUUGAGGCUAUGGUUGACAAAUACCCACACAUCCAGUUCUCAACAUUCUUUAUGGAGUCAAGAAAACUGAUCCAGAAAGCUAUUGCUAAUGGUUUUAAAUUUAUGGCGGAGACAGAGCAGAAUAAAUAAUUUACAAACUUCUUUGUGAAGUGACAAAAUCAGCUGUAAGGAUGUGUGCACAUGAUUCAUAUGUAAACUGCAGUGCCAAAAAAUUGCUAUACAGGUGUCUGUUCUUGAAUAAUUUAAAUUUCACAGAUGCCAGCUUGCAAGAAGUUACCCUAGUUUUUACGAAUCAAGCCCUAAAAUCAUGCUAUUUUGGUCAGCAAUAUCUUCGUUGUGAAUAUUGAUUAAAGAUGAAGUUGUGUAUAUGUAUGAAACAGCCAAGAAACAACAUAAAUAGAGUAGAGGACAUGUAGAGGUCAACAUAAGAUCUUCAAAUGUAAAAAGAACAUGACAAGCUCUAGUUGCUAUUGCAUCAAAUCAUAAAGAAUAACCAUCAAUGCAAAAAUUUCUUAAAGAACAAAGACAGACUGUAAAUUAAUAAAAUAUUGAGUGCAUUUAUUAUUGCUAUAUUUGAGAAAGGGACAAAAAUGUGAGAACAUUUAUUGUGAUUUAAGGAAAAUCUGCAUACAGAUACAUUGUAUAUGUUUCAGAUAUCAGACUGCAAGUUCUUAUAAUUGUUAUACUCACCCAGUUAUUUGCAUUAGUAAAGACCUUCCAAUAAUUUUUGCAUUUACAGUACAUUUAGAUAUACUGUAAGUUCAGAGAUUUGGGUGUGCAUUUAUUUUAGCCAUUGAUUAUGUUAAUUCAAUUUAAAAUUUCUGGACAUGCUCAUGCAUAUAAUGAUAUCAAAAUUUGAAAUGCAUGCUUAUAUUUUAUGCAUAAAUUUUGUUUGUUGAAGGCAUAAAUGAUCACAAAUAUAUUUGAAUUAACAAACAACUGAAGAGGUCACUUUUUAUUUUUUUAUUUUAGUUUGUGGCUUCUAAAUGCAAUCAUGAUAUUCUGAAUGGUUACUUAAAAAAAAUAUGAACUGUUUUGCUAAUUCUGCAUUUUAUUGAUGAAUAGGUUUUUUUUGUAGCCAUUUUGGCAUCAUUUCAUUCAAAUUCAGAAAAAAAAUUGAGCAGAAAUCCCAAGAUUCAGGCUACCUGAGUUCUGGAUUUUGAAACUUUGUGUACUAUGUAAUGGGGAAAAUUGACAUCAGUGAACCUAAUCCAUCAGUGGUGGAUCCAGGGGAGGAUAUGGGGUUGGAAUCCUCCCCCAUUUUUUAUAUGAUCAAUGCUUGUCAAUGGGGACAUAUAGUUGUUAUCCCCUUUUAAAAAUGACUGGAAUCGCCCCUGACCAUGCUUUUCAUAUGCAGUGUCAGACCUUGAACUGAUCAUGAAAAGCAUGAUAUGAUGACUAGUGCUUAGGUUUGUUUGCUGAAAAGUAGUUGAGACUUUAUUUUUAUUCUAAACAAUACAUGUUGAUGUAACAAAAGUUCAAUAUCAUGCGUAAAUUGUUAUGAAGCUAUUACAUUAUUGUUUUGUUGGAAACAGUGAGUUGUAUAUAAAAA